rnacentral:sRNA from 1 species
ACGCAUGAGAGGAGGUGAUCGGGUACAUGAGUGAAACCCGGACGCGCGAGGUGGCUGCGGGCUAGCGGCUCGCCACCACACCUAGUGCGGUGCCGGACCAGCGUGUGCGCGAAACACGCAGCCGGCCCAAACCAACGCAGUCACCCGACCCGCGAGCUCGCCGGUAACGUCCGGCCGGCUCCCCAGCCGUCAGGCGGGGGAACCCGAGUUCGCGGGUCGUCUGCG